rnacentral:lncRNA from 10 species
AGGCGCCCACCACCACGCCCAGCUAAUUUUUUUGUUUUUUCGUAGAGACGGGGUUUCACUAUGUUGGCCAGGCUGGUCUUGAACUCCUGACCUGGUGAUCCGCCUGCCUCGGCCUCCCAAAGUGCUGGGAUUACAAGCGUGAGCUGCCCACCCAGCCCAGAAAACAUUCUUAAAAAAUGAAGACAAGCCACAGACUGGAGAAAAUAGUUUGAUGAUAUACAUGUGAAAAAGGACUUGUAUCCAUAAUAUGCAAAGAACCCUUAAAACCCAAUAAUAAUAAAACAAACACUCCAGUUUUAAAAAUGGGCAAAAGAUUUUGGGAGACACUUCACCAAACAAAAUAUAGGAUGACAAUUAAACACAUGAAAAGAUGCUUAACAUCAUUAGUCAUUAGGGAAAUGCAAAUUUAAGCCACAGUACACAUUGCUACACUGCUAUUAGAAUGGUUAAAAACCCAAACCAAAAAACUGACAAUACCACAUGCUGACGAUGACCUUGAGCAAAUGCAAUUCUCACACAUUGUUGGGGAAAAUGACAAAUGGUACAAUCACUUUGAAAAACAGUUUGGCAGUUUCUCAUGAGGUUAAACAUUCACUUAGCAUCCAGUGCAGCAAUACAAUACCACUCUGAGGUAUUUACCCAAAAGAAAUGAAAACCUAUGCUUACACAAAAACCUGUAUUCAAAUAUUUAUAGCUGUUUUAUUCAUCAUUGCCAAAAACUGGAAGCAAACAAAUGACCAGUCGCUGGUUAAUGGAUAAACAAACUGAGGCCUAUCCAUACAAUAGGAUACUACUCAGCACCAGAAAGAAAAAAUUACUGAUAUACGUAACAAUCACCUGAUCAGAUAAAUCUGAUAAUUCUGCUAUGUGAAAUAAACACACUCAAAGGCUACGUAUCAUAAGAUUCCACUUACAUGACAUUCUAUAAAGGGAAUGAAAACAGGAAAGAGAGUACUGGUUGUGAGGGGCUUGGGGUAGGGAUCAGGGUUGACUACAGAAGGGCAUGAGGGAACUUUUUUUUUUUUUUGAGAUGGAGUCUUGCUGUGUUGCCCAGGCUGGAGUGCAGUGGAGUGAUCUUGGCUCACUGCAACCUCCACCUCCUGGGUUCAAGCAAUUCUCCUGCCUCAGCCUCCCGAGUAACUAGGAUUAAAGGCGCCUGCCACCAUGCCCGGCUAAGUUUUAUAUAUAUUUUUUUAGUAGAGAUAAGGUUUCACCAUGUUGGCCAGGCUGGUCUCAAACUCCUGACUUCAAAUGAUCCGCCCGCCUCGGCCUCCCCAAAUGCUGAGAUUACAGACGUGAGCUACUGCGCCCCGCCGUGAGGGAACUUUUUUUUUAGAUGGAGUCUGUCUCUGUCACCCAGGGUGAAGUGUGGCGGCACAAUCUCAGCUCACUGCAACCUCCGCCUCCCAGGUUCAAAUGAUUAUCCUGCCUCAGCCUCCCGAGUAGCUGGGAUUACAGGCGUGCAUCACCAUGCCCAAUUUUUUGUAUUUUUAGUAGAGACAGGGUUUCACCAUGAUGGCCAAGCUGGUCUUGAACUCCUGACCUCUUGAUCCGCCUGCCUCAGCCUCCCAAAGUGCUGGGAUUACAGGUUCGAGCCACUGUGCACCACCAUGAGGGAACUUUUAAGGGGAAUGGAAAUGUCUAUAUCUUGGUAGUGGUGGCAGUUCCAUGACUGUAUUUGUUUCUUAAACUCAUAGAACUGCAUACUAAAGAGGAUGAAAUUUACUGUAUGAAAAUUGUACCUCAAUAAACCUGACUUUUUAAAAAGCUGGCCAGAUGCGGUGGCUCACACUUAUAAUCCCAGUACUUUGGGAGGCCGAGGCAGGAGGAUCACUUGAGCUCAGGAGUUCGAGACCAGCCUGGCCAACAUGGCAAAGCCCCAUCUCUACCAAAAAUACAAAAACUACCCUAGUGUGGUGGUGCACACCUGUGGUCUCAACUACUCAGGAGGCUGAGGUGGGAGGAUCACUGAAGCCCGCAAAGUGAAGCCUGCAGUGAGCCAAGAUCAUGCCACUGCACUCCAGCCUGGGUGACAGAGUGAGACCUGUCCGCCCCUGCCCCCUCAACAAAAGAACAAAGCCAAAGGAAAUUUGCCACCAUCAAUAUUAAGGUUCUUUCCAAAAAUUCAUUCUAAAACCUUAAUGGAAAUUCCCAGAAUCCAGUUCCAAACACAUUCUGAGCGGUGAGGACAACUUUGGAAUUGAAAAAGAGCUCUCAAAGUGGUACACUUUGAAGGGACAGUACUGGGAUGGGGGUGGGGGUAAGUAAAACAAAAGUUGACAUUAAUCUAAAACUUUAAAGAGUUGUGGCUUUAUUUUACACAUCAUGAAACAAACCAGAGGAUGUCAAGACACUUCAUUUUCAAGCUCUCUUCUGUGAGGCAAAGAGUUGGAGACCAGAGUUCCAAGUCCCUCUUCUGAAAGUUAUCAGCUUUGAAAACUGAAUUUGAGCAACUCAUUUAUCCUCUUUGGGCCCCAUUUUCUUUUUUUUUUUUUUUU